rnacentral:rRNA from 1 species
ACGGCUCAGUAACACGUAGUCAACCUACCCUUGGGACGGGGACAACCUCGGGAAACUGAGGCUAAUCCCCGAUAGGCGGGGGACGCUGGGAUGCCCCCUCGCCCAAAGCUCCGGCGCCCGAGGAUGGGACUGCGGCCUAUCAGGCUGUCGGUGGUGUAACGGACCACCAAACCUACGACGGGUACGGGCGAUGGGAGUCGGAGCCCGGAGAUGGGGACUGAGACAAGGCCCCAGGCCCUACGGGGCGCAGCAGGCGCGAAAACUCCGCAAUGCGCGCAAGCGUGACGGGGGGACCCCAAGUGCCGUUGGUCUUUCGAUCGACGGUUUUUAGGAAGUCUAAGAAGCUUCCAGAAUAAGGGCUGGGCAAGACUGGUGCCAGCCGCCGCGGUAACACCAGCAGCCCAAGUGGUGGCCACGAUUAUUGGGCCUAAAGCGCUCGUAGCCGGAUCAAUAAGUCCCUUGUGAAAUCGGGCCGCCCAACGGUUCGGCGUGCAAGGGAUACUGUUGGUCUUGAGGCCGGGAGAGGUCGGAGGUACUCCUGGGGUAGCGGUGAAAUGCUCUAAUCCUAGGGGGACCACCAGUGGCGAAGGCGUCCGACCAGAACGGACCUGACGGUGAGGGGCGAAGGCUAGGGGAGCGAACGGGAUUAGAUACCCCGGUAGUCCUAGCUGUAAAGCAUGCGGGCCAGGUGUCUAGCGCUCCUUGAGGGCGCUAUGUGCCGGAGGGAAGCCGUUAAGCCCGCCGCCUGGGAAGUACGGUCGCAAGGCUGAAACUUAAAGGAAUUGGCGGGGGAG